CCUUCGAUAGCUCAGUUGGAAGAGCGCGAGACUGUAAUAGGGUACAUUUCAUCUUGAGGUCGCUGGUUCGAUCCCGGCUCGAAGGA
rnacentral:tRNA from 1 species